AGUUUUAUAGUCAAAAAAUGAUAUGAAAUUGCAAAUUUCAUGGUAUAAAGAAAAUUUAUUAAGGCUU